GAGGAAAAGAAACUAACAAGGAUUCCCCUAGUAACUGCGAGUGAAGCGGGAAAAGCUCAAAUUUAAAAUCUGGUAGUCUUUGGCUGCCCGAGUUGUAAUCUAGAGAAGUGUUAUCCGCACUGGACCGUGUACAAGUCUCCUGGAAUGGAGCGUCAUAGAGGGUGAGAAUCCCGUCUUUGACACGGACUACCAGGGCUUUGUGAUGCGCUCUCAAAGAGUCGAGUUGUUUGGGAAUGCAGCUCUAAAUGGGUGGUAAAUUCCAUCUAAAGCUAAAUAUUGGCGAGAGACCGAUAGCGAACAAGUACCGUGAGGGAAAGAUGAAAAGAACUUUGGAAAGAGAGUUAAACAGUACGUGAAAUUGUUGAAAGGGAAACGCUUGAAGUCAGUCGUGUUGGCCAGGGAUCAACCUUGCUUCUUGCUUGGUGUACUUUCUGGUUAAUGGGUCAGCAUCAAUUUUGACCAGUGGAAAAAGACUAGGGGAAUGUGGCAUCUUCGGAUGUGUUAUAGCCCUUGGUUGCAUACACUGGUUGGGUUUGAGGAACUCAGCACGCCGCAAGGCCGGGUUUUUACCACGUUCGUGCUUAGGAUGCUGGCAUAAUGGCUUUAAUCGACCCG
rnacentral:rRNA from 1 species